rnacentral:rRNA from 1 species
GGUGAACGCUGGCGGCGUGCUUAAGACAUGCAAGUCGAACGGCAGUCUUCGGACUGUAGUGGCGCACGGGUGAGUAACGCGUAACUGACCUACCCCAAAGUCGCGGAUAACGAUUCGAAAGAAUCGCUAAUACGUGAUGUGCUGUCAGAUUGUGUUCUGCAGUAAAGAUUGAUUGCUUUGGGAUGGGGUUGCGUUCCAUCAGCUAGUUGGUGGGGUAAAGGCCCACCAAGGCGACGACGGAUAGCCGGCCUGAGAGGGUGGCCGGCCACAGGGGCACUGAGACACGGGUCCCACUCCUACGGGAGGCAGCAGUUAGGAAUCUUCCACAAUGGGCGAAAGCCUGAUGGAGCGACGCCGCGUGAGGGAUGAAGGUCUUCGGAUCGUAAACCUCUGAAUCAGGGACGAAAGAUACUUCGGUGGGAUGACGGUACCUGAGUAAUAGCACCGGCUAACUCCGUGCCAGCAGCCGCCGUAAUAC